AAGGUGACACAGGCAGAGCUGCGCUCCCCGGCAUGUUCAUACACACACUGGAUAGAGAACGCACUGAGCACACAGCUGUGACAGGCAGAUGAACAAUGAGCAGCGAGAUAGGAACACUAUAUUAAGCUGCUGAAUUACAUAACUAUGAACCCACCCUCAGUUGCCAGAAGCCACACCUGCCGGCGGCACAGGCAAACCGGUUAUGCCAGCUGUACCCAUCUCGUGUCAGGGUGUGUGGGGUUUCGCAGCAUGACGGCUUACCAGUGAUUUACAAAGAUGCUGGAGAUAAUGCAGGGCUUAGCAUUGCAACACAGUCCCAAAAGGGCAUUACAAGAACCUUUAUGCAUUCUCUUCCAUCAUCUCCUGCCUUGGCUACUGAAACCUCCUGCUAUAUGGCCUUCCCAUCCCAUCUUUCUGCACUACAAUCCAUCCAAAAUGCUGCAACGAGGGUGACCCUUCUCUUCACUCCACAUCCUCUGCAAAUCUUUGCUCUGCCGCCCUAUUACCUCAUCCAGCUCUGACCUCAUCACAAGAACUACUGCAGGUGUUUGGGCACCUGGGAGCUUGGGAAGCGGUGAAGAUCCCACCGAUCACAAUGCAAAUGCCGAAAUCCCGCACAGCGGUACAAUGUCGGCGCCGGAAUCUUGGCUCCACAGGCUUUUCUCCCUCUAUGGGUGACCACAACAGAAUAAAACCUGCGGCGAGAGCAGCGUGCCACCGCGCCAGCAGCAUGGCAAGCGCAGCAAGCCCACAAGGGGUUACUAGCGCUCGCCCCGCUGCCAGCAUCCUGGAUGGCCGGGAUGUUGCUGUUGGUAUACUGACAGCCGGCAUCCCGGCCACUGGUAUUACAUACUGAAUCUGUGAGCUUAGAGAUAUGGCUUGGUGUGAUGGUAACAAAGGUCAGGUUUUCUAAUGUGUCCAUUCACAUCAGUCCCUGCCCCUGUGGACCUUAAAAUCUAUGGGGCAGAUGUUUUAAGCCUGGAGAAGUGAUAAAGUGGAAGGAGAUAACACAACAGCCAAUCAGCUCCUGUCUGUCAAGGUACAGGCUGGGUUUGGGAAAAAAAAUGACAGUUAAAAGCGGACAGGCUGGGGCGUUAUCAAGUUCCACUUUAUCACUUCUCCAGGCUUAAUACAUCUGCCCGUACAGUAUAUUCCCUACCACAUGUACCACUACACACAUUCACGCUAGAGUUAAUUGUUGUUGGGAGCCAAUUAACCUACCAGUAUAUUUUUGGAUAGGGAGAAGAAACCGGAGUACCCAGAGGAAACCCACGCAAGCAUGGGGAGAGUAUAUAAGCUCAAGACGGUCAGUGCCACCGUGGGGAUCGAACCCAUGUACUCAGUGCGGUGUUAUAAAGUAAUGCUAAGCAUUACACCGUCCAUGCUUCCCACACACACAAGUUCCCGGAUGAACGGCACUCCAAAUGGUAGUCACUUGAAUAAACCCGCUGGUUUCUUAAACUAUGAUGAAAAAUGGUUUUUAUAAUUGCCUACAGUUUGACACCCCGUUCAUCGAGGAACUUUAUCAUUUUUGGGCACCAAGCCAAUCACAUUACCAAGCGGUUCACCCUAAGACUAAUAAAAAUCUGGGUGAUAGUAGGACUUGCAGUGAAAUGGGGUCCCUUGAUAAUGUGCUGCAUGCUUUUUCUCCCCCCAUUAUAUAUAUUGCACACCCCGAAAAACGCCCAGGGCUGCAGGCGUAGAUCUCAGGACCAGCGGCUUCAUGUGGUUUUCUCAUGAGUUAGUAACCCCAAGCAACUUUGUGUGCUAUACCCUGAAGGAAAAAAUGCAAAUAUUGUUUACAAAGAAAUUGUUUGACUUGAGGAGCCUGCAUUCUGCACGCGCCGAGUGUCAAGUGUCCGGCUUUUCCUUAAUUGCCCCUAUCUCUGAUGUCACAUCGAUACCAUACGUAACUUAGUUUCUUCCUAGGUCACUAAGCUAUAGUAAGUUUUUGCGUGAUGCCGAUACGAACAGAAAAAUGUUGAGUAUUUUUUAGUCUCCACAGUCUCAAAGUAUAUUUCUCCCCCCACAAAUUGCUAUGUACAGACACAACCUUUAUAGUUUUAUUAUAUGUAUAGAUAUAAUCUUUAUAUUACUAUAUUAUGAGAUAUAUAUCUAAACAUUUCUAAUGUAAGGAGAUGAUGGGAAAGGAGCCCAUCCUGGCACUGCAGCACCACCAAGUGGCUGAUUUGUUGGUGGAAAUUUCCAGCUCUGUGCAUAGGUUAGGAGCACUGUCAGAGUGGAUGGCAGAUUUACGGUCGGCCUCAAGUGUAAAUCAACCCCACCCAGGUGCAGAGGUCAGGAUGAGUUUACAUACAAAACAUGACUCUGUACCUUCCUCUACUACCACCGCCUGUCAGCGCAUCUCCUGCCCACUGCAUGCCCACACUACCUGCCGCAACCUACCACCAUAACACCCUCUACCCCUUUCUACAGAGUAUUUUAUUAUCCACAAGGGAUCCGCAAGCGCCCAAUUACAGAGUACAGAAAAUAGUGACUUACGACUCGUACACACUAGACGAUAUAGUAAACGAUAUCACUUUUUUUACCCUCCUGAGCGAUAUCGCUUACUAUAUCGCCCAGUGUGUAUGCUGCUGCUGACGACGGCCGAUGCGCGGCCCCGCGGGUCGUUAAUGACCCUCGGUGUCGGGCAUGCAUGCAGCUCAAUCUGAACUCAUCGUCCAAAGCUGCCAUGUACAGCCCAGACGCACAUGACGUCACUGUGCGAUAUCGCAGUGUGUAUGCCCACGUUAGGCAGCCUGGGCUGGGAGAGGGACACACUAGACACUAGGCAAUGUCGCCCAGUGUGUAUGCACCUUUACAGUUGAAGACAACAUAGGACAAGUAUAGGGUAAAUAAAACAUAGAUACAUCAGCAGACGACACUGACAUAAGUAAUCAGGGUAGCAAGAAAACCGCGGGAUUUGGUACCGUUGAAGAUGGUUUAAGUAAGAGACGGAUAAGCACAUGAGGGUUGAGGACCCUGUGCGUGAGAGCUUACAUACUAAAGUAUAUGGCCCUUAUAUGAACUCUCAAAUAGGUUACUCUAUUAAACUGACUUCAAAAGUGACUUAAAUAGAAGUCAUUCUGUAAAUAUGGUCACCAUUUCUAACAACUUAAAAGCACAAAUGUAUGUCAAGGAGGUAAAACAUACAUGGACACAAUAAAAUAAUUCUUACAGAAUUGGAAUACAGAAUGAAUAAUACUAAAACACCCAGACCAAAAAUAAAAUAAUGACAAACCAAUUGGGCACCAACAACAGUAACACAUAUUUGUUCCACAAUUUAUUUUAAUUGAUUAUUCUGUCUGUGUAAAGCCAUCAUUCCAAGAUUUGCCGUGAAUAUUAAGUAAUCUUCAUCAUGAAGCUGUGCAAAAAUGGAUAUGCAACUACUGUACAUCUUACAACAUUUCUAAAUGAUGCAGGGAAUGCCAGCCCACUUCUCUCAACACUGUAGACAAGCUACUAGUCACACUGUGCCUAGGAAUUAUUGGGGGUAAUAAACUAAACUAAAACUACAUAUCUCCGUUUCUGAGCCCAAGAACCAUGUCAGGCUGAGUAAGCAACUAUUUGCCUACAUGUAGGGGGUCAUUCCGACCUGAUCGCA